UAUGACGUCGUAUAUCGACGUCAUCAACAUCUAAGUUGAUCGUGUUUAUGACGUCGAAUAUCGACGUUAUAAACACCAAAGUUUAUCGUGUUUAUGACGUCGAAUAUUGACCUCUUAAACAUCAAAGUUGAUCGUUUUUAACACUUCGAAUAUCGACGUCAUAAACACCAAAGUUGAUCGUGUCUUUGACGUCGAAUAUCGACGUUAUAAACACCAAAGUUGAUCGUGUUUAUGACGUCCAAUGUCAACGUAAUA